rfam:Ornithorhynchus anatinus chromosome X1, whole genome shotgun sequence.
AGAAGGAUGGCUCAGUGGAAAGAGCACGGGCUAUGGAGUCCGAGGUCAUGGGUUCGAAUCCCAGCUCUGCCA